rnacentral:rRNA from 1 species
GACGAACGCUGGCGGCGUGCUUAACACAUGCAAGUCGAACGGAAAGGCCCUGAUUUUGUGGGGCGCUCGAGUGGCGAACGGGUGAGUAACACGUGAGUAACCCGCCCCUGACUUUGGGAUAACUUCUGGAAACUGGGGCUAAUACCGGAUAGGAGCUCCUGCUGCAUGGUGGGGGAUGGAAAGAUUCGGCGGUUGGGGAUGGACUCGCGGCUUAUCAGCUUGUUGGUGGGGUAGUGGCUUACCAAGGCUUUGACGAGUAGCCGGCCUGAGAGGGUGACCGGCCACAUUGGGACUGAGAUACGGCGCAGACUCCUACGGGAGGCAGCAGUGGGGAAUAUUGCACAAUGGGCGGAAGCCUGAUGCAGCAACGCCGCGUGCGGGAUGACGGCCUUCGGGUUGUAAACCGCUUUCGCCUGUGACGAAGAGUGAGUGACGGUAAUGGGUAAAGAAGCACCGGCUAACUACGUG